rnacentral:lncRNA from 10 species
ACAUGAACAUGGGGCAGGAAGGAGCAUGGAGAAGACAAGAACAAGGCUCUCAGAAGGAAAUGGUGUGGCUGGAGCCAUGAGAACUGGUUGUGGAGGGGGCAAAUAUAAUUUCUGACCUACGUAAUGAUGUAUGCACAAGAAGCCUCUCUUGAAUGUAUUAAUUCAGUAAACAGUUAUGGAGUCCUUACAAUGUGCUAGUGGGACUUUGAAGAUGAAUCCAAAUUUGGAUCCUGGCCUGGAAAGGCUCAAAGCCCAAUAUGGGAGCCUGGAUACAAAUGUGAAACUUAUCUUCUUUUAUUAACCAAUCAAUCACCUCCUGCCAAAACAACAUCAGCAAAAACAACAGAAAAAAACAAAAACAAAAACAAAAACAAAUCUGUGUACACAAGACCUUUGUUUCCACAGCAGACUUGGCUAAAGGUUUGGGCAUGCAUAUGCAUACCCCCAAAAUUAAAAAUGGAAAAUU